AGAGAAGAGAAUAUACCUACAGAGAAAGGAGAGGACGUGGAUGUUCAAGAACAAGUGUGAUUCGUCGUAAUGGAAACCAUCCCCCAGAUUCAGGGACCUGCUUUGCAGAUUCAUGGCCGCUCCUCGUGUUGUCUAAGAUCUGCAGAGCUUAAUGAAGAGUAUGGCAGACAAGCACUUUGUAAAUUUCCAGAGCUGAGAAUAAUAAGUACGUCAUGGCUGGUGUACACACACAGACUCAGGCUUGGACUAGAACCUACAUCAUUGACUCUCCUGAUUCUCAAGCCUUCAUACUUGGACUAGAAUUUACACUGCCAGCUCUCCUCUUGCAAGCUUUUGGACUCACACUGAAAUUCCCACCCUGGUUCUCAGGCCUUCAGACUGCUGAUCCUGGGACUUCUCAGCCUUCAAAAUUGCAUAAGGCAACUCCUUAUAAUAAAUCUGUCUGUCUAAAUCUACCUA
rnacentral:lncRNA from 1 species